rnacentral:rRNA from 1 species
AAUAGCGGAGGAAAAGAAACCAACAGGGAUUGCCUCAGUAACGGCGAGUGAAGCGGCAAAAGCUCAAAUUUGAAACCCUCGGGAUUGUAAUUUGAAGAUUUGGCAUUGGAGAAAGCUAACCCAAGUUGCUUGGAAUAGUACGUCAUAGAGGGUGACAACCCCGUCUGGCUAACCGUUCUCCAUGUAUUGCCUUAUCAAAGAGUCGAGUUGUUUGGGAAUGCAGCUCAAAGUGGGUGGUAAACUCCAUCUAAAGCUAAAUACUGGUGAGAGACCGAUAGCGAACAAGUACUGUGAAGGAAAGGUGAAAAGAACUUUGAAAAGAGAGUGAAAUAGUAUGUGAAAUUGUUGAUAGGGAAGGAAAUGAGUGGAGAGUGGCCGAGGUUUCAGCCGCCCCUCGUGGGCGGUGUACUGCCGACGCCGAGUCAUCGAUAGCGAGACGAGGGUUACAAAUGGGAGCGCCUUCGGGCGUUCUCCCCUAACCCUCCACACUGCCACCGACGACAGCUUCCCC